GAUGAACGCUGGCGGCGUGCCUAAUACAUGCAAGUCGAGCGAACAGACGAGGAGCUUGCUCCUCUGACGUUAGCGGCGGACGGGUGAGUAACACGUGGAUAACCUACCUAUAAGACUGGGAUAACUUCGGGAAACCGGAGCUAAUACCGGAUAAUAUAUUGAACCGCAUGGUUCAAUAGUGAAAGACGGUUUUGCUGUCACUUAUAGAUGGAUCCGCGCCGCAUUAGCUAGUUGGUAAGGUAACGGCUUACCAAGGCAACGAUGCGUAGCCGACCUGAGAGGGUGAUCGGCCACACUGGAACUGGGACACGGUCCAGACUCCUACGGGAGGCAGCAGUAGGGUAUCGUCGGCAAUGGUCGAAAGCCUUACAGAGCAACGCCGCGUGAGUGAUGAAGGUGUUCGGAUCGUAAAACUCUGUUAUGAGGGAAGAACAAAUGUGUAAGUAACUAUGCACGUCUUGACGGUACCUAAUCAGAAAGCCACGGCUAACUACGUG
rnacentral:rRNA from 1 species